AUUGAACGCUGGCGGAAUGCUUUACACAUGCAAGUCGAGCGGCAGCGCGGGGGCAACCCUGGCGGCGAGCGGCGAACGGGUGAGUAACACAUCGGAACGUACCCAGUGGUGGGGGAUAGCCCGGCGAAAGCCGGAUUAAUACCGCAUACGACCUGAGGGGGAAAGUGGGGGACCGCAAGGCCUCACGCCGCUGGAGCGGCCGAUGUUCGAUUAGCUAGUUGGUGGGGUAAAGGCCUACCAAGGCGACGAUCGAUAGCUGGUCUGAGAGGACGACCAGCCACACUGGAACUGAGACACGGUCCAGACUCCUACGGGAGGCAGCAGUGGGGAAUUUUGGACAAUGGGGGCAACCCUGAUCCAGCCAUUCCGCGUGAGUGAAGAAGGCCUCGGUUGUAAG
rnacentral:rRNA from 1 species